rnacentral:tRNA from 1 species
GUGGCUGACUGGUUACGGUGUUCGCUUUGUAAGCGAAAGGUUCUGGGUUCGAUUCCCAUC